rnacentral:rRNA from 1 species
AGCGAACGCUGGCGGCAGGCCUAACACAUGCAAGUCGAACGAACCCUUCGGGGUUAGUGGCGGACGGGUGAGUAACACGUGGGAACGUGCCUUUAGGUUCGGAAUAACUCAGGGAAACUUGUGCUAAUACCGAAUGUGCCCUUCGGGGGAAAGAUUUAUCGCCUUUGGAGCGGCCCGCGUCUGAUUAGCUAGUUGGUGAGGUAAUGGCUCACCAAGGCUACGAUCAGUAGCUGGUCUGAGAGGAUGACCAGCCACAUUGGGACUGAGACACGGCCCAAACUCCUACGGGAGGCAGCAGUGGGGAAUCUUGCGCAAUGGGCGAAAGCCUGACGCAGCCAUGCCGCGUGGAUGAUGAAGGUCUUAGGAUUGUAAAAUCCUUUCACCGGUGAAGAUAAUGACUGUAGCCGGAGAAGAAGCCCCGGCUAACUUCGCGCCAGCCGCCGCCGUAAGAC